rnacentral:rRNA from 1 species
ACUCAAAGGAAUUGACGGGGGCCCGCACAAGCGGUGGAUCAUGUGGUUCAAUUCGAAGCAACGCGAAAAACCUUACCUGGGUUUGACAUCCUCUGACAACCAUAGAGAUAUGGCUUUCGUAGCAAUACGACAGAGAGACAGGUGCUGCAUGGCUGUCGUCAGCUCGUGUGGUGACAUGUUGGGUUAAGUCCCGCAACGAGCGCAACCCCUAUUUUUAGUUGCCAGCAUUAAGUUGGGCACUCUAGAGAGACUGCCGUGGUUAACACGGAGGAAGGUGGGGAUGACGUCAAGUCCUCAUGGCCCUUAUAUCCAGGGCAACACACGUGAUACAAUGGACGGUACAGAGGGACGCGAAAGGGCGACCUGGAGCUAAUCUCAAAAAACCGUUCUCAGUUCGGAUUGGAGUCUGCAAUUCGACUCCAUGAAGGUGGAAUCGCUAGUAAUCGCGGAUCAGAACGCCGCGGUGAAUACGUUCCCGGGCCUUGUACACACCGCCCGU